ACCCUUGUGUGUUCCUAUCUUUCCUGUCUUCUCCAAGGCCAAACCAGUCUACUACCUCACUCGUGCUGGGAGAAUGCUGGUAACAGAGCUUGCAGUGUUAAACACACAGACUUCCAAAUUGGUUAUUGAGGAGCCUACCAUUCACCUCACUGAAGCUGGGAGGCUAGUGCUUGACGAACUGUCAGCACCUUCAGAUAG